AUUGAACGCUAGCGGCAUGCCUUACACAUACAAGUCGGACGGCAGCGCGGGCUUCGGCCUGGCGGCGAGUGGCGAACGGGUGAGUAAUAUAUCGGAACGUGCCCAGUAGUGGGGGAUAACUGCUCGAAAGAGCAGCUAAUACCGCAUACGACCUGAGGGUGAAAGGGGGGGAUCGCAAGACCUCUCGCUAUUGGAGCGGCCGAUAUCAGAUUAGCUAGUUGGUGGGGUAAAGGCCUACCAAGGCAACGAUCUGUAGUUGGUCUGAGAGGACGACCAGCCACACUGGGACUGAGACACGGCCCAGACUCCUACGGGAGGCAGCAGUGGGGAAUUUUGGACAAUGGGCGCAAGCCUGAUCCAGCAAUGCCGCGUGCAGGAAGAAGGCCUUCGGGUUGUAAACUGCUUUUGUCAGGGAAGAAAUCUUCUGGGCUAAUACCCCGGGAGGAUGACGGUACCUGAAGAAUAAGCACCGGCUAACUACGUGCCAGCCGCCGCUGUAACAC
rnacentral:rRNA from 1 species